rnacentral:rRNA from 1 species
ACUCGACUCCAUGAAGUCGGAAUCGCUAGUAAUCGUAGAUCAGAAUGCUACGGUGAAUACGUUCCCGGGCCUUGUACACACCGCCCGUCACACCAUGGGAGUGGGUUGCAAAAGAAGUAGGUAGCUUAACCUUCGGGAGGGCGCUUACCACUUUGUGAUUCAUGACUGGGGUGAAGUCGUAACAAGGUAACCGUAGGGGAACCUGCGGUUGGANUCACCUCCUUACCUUAAAGAA